rnacentral:lncRNA from 1 species
AGACAGGAGUCCAGGGCCUGCGAAUCGAGCUGACGCCAGCACCUCUGUGCCUGCUUGCACCUGGACCCAGCAGAGCCACGGGGGCCCCGAAUCACACCUGCAGUCAGGGCGUGGUGGGUGAGCUUUGGAGCAAUCCACGCUGGACUCCUUCCUCCUGAAUUUCCCUUUCUCUCCUCCCUCCCCGUCUCCCACCUGCCGCCUGUCUCCCACUCAAUAAACUCCAGUGCCCUUUCUUCCCUUGAGUGGAGGGCUUUUUGCAGGAUGAAAGGCAGAUGAAAGAAACGUCCUUGCCUUUGGUUUCUAAAGCCUCAUAUAGAACAGGAGGGUUUUUGGAGGAGGAAGGUUUUCCCUUCAGGUAGAAGCAGCGAGUUUUCUUAUCUUCAGAAUGGACAUGAAUAGGGAGGGGUUUCCUCCAACCCAUUCACUCAUCCACCCUUUCACAGAUAUUUGAGUGCCUACUAGGUGCAGUGUCACUCUGGAAGCUGGGAACACAGUGGGACCGGCAAGCCACCCCCAGUCCUCGUGAGGUUAACUAGCAAGACAGCUAGUUUGCAGGUCAACUGAUCGAGGAAUGCAAACAAGGGGCUGGAGAGACUUCUUCAUGAAGGAAUACAGGGACAGUCACAGGAGACAGGAGCACCAAGGGAUUCGGACAUGUGGCUGACACAGUCUUCUGGAGAGCCCCGGAUGGCAUCAGGGGGAAACCUGGCCUGAGACAGUGCCCUGAUGGACAAGGACAGGAAUACGGUCAUACCUCCUGCCCACUUGACCAACGACCAGGAUGAGAAGCCAACAGAUGAUGAAUAUGAAUUAAAGUUGGACAACUAGCAAGUUUAAAACUUGGACUGGGACCUAGAUCUUCCGAUUCCUACAGCUAGCCUCCCUUUCCAUCUUCUCUGUGGUCAUCACUAAUGCAGUUUUUGACCGUCUUGUCCAGAAGCUGCAAAACAGACAACAGAAGCCAGGACUGGCCCUGCCUUAGAUGGCUUUCAGUGCAGGAAAGUAUCAAGACAGUCUUGUUCGUAGCGUAUAUCUCUCUCCACCUUUUCUGCUAAGCACCUCAUGUAUGCAGCUGCCAAUGUAACACCUCCAUUUGCGUGUUUAAUCACCAUCUCAAGCUAAUGUAACCAAGCAGACUUCUUGGCCUUCAUCCCUGCCUCCUCUAGUCUUCUCAUCUCUCUCUCUCUCUCUCUCUUUUUGAGACAGAAUUUGGCUCUGUUGCCCAGGCUGGAGUGCAGUGGCACCAUCUUGGCUCACUGCAACCUCUGCCUCCUGGGCUCAAGCCAUCCUCCCAACUCAGCCUCCUGAGUAGCUGGGUCUUCCCAUCUCUUUAAAAAACAAUUCAAUUGUUCAGAACAAAACCCUGGAGUCAUAUUUAAUUCCUCCCUUCCUCUUGCACUUCUAAACCAAUCAUUCAUCUCUACUUUGAAAAUGUUUCUUUAUUCAUCCAGUGCACCAAGCCACCAUCACCUCGAGGCAGGAAUAUUCAACGGCCUCAUAAGUGGUCUCCCUAUUUGUGUUAUAUUCAAUGCAUGUCUUUUCUUACUCAAAAUCCUAUAAAGGCUUCUCUUCACCAUCCACGACUGUUUCCUGCCUUCCUCACUAUGAUCCCAUCACUGACCCCUCAAGACUAUGUUCCAGCCUACUUUCUGCUCCUUGACCAACACCCUUACUCUGAUUCCCACUUUUGUGACUUCACAUGAGUCCCCUGUCUGCCUGGACACUCUGCCCCCAACCUUGAAGUGCUCACCCUUCCCUGUCACUCAGUUGAAAGUCAAAUUCCAUUUCCUCAUGAGGGCUUCCCUGAAUACCCACUUUUAAUUAACUCUCUGCCUCCUCCCAUCACUUCUGUUUUACCCCCUCUUUUAGUUCCUUCCUAUCUUAGUUUCAUAAGAGCCAGGGCCGUUUCCGACUUCUUUCCCCGUCAAGCCUCCUUAGAUAGGACAGGUCCUCUGCCUCACCGACUUUAAUCAGUAUUUGCUAAGUAAACAGAGCACAGGAGGAUCCUGUUGUCAUCAAAGAGCAGCUCUGCCUCCAAUGGCGAAAGGAUUGUUGGAACCUCAUCCUUCCUUCAAGUUCUGGUUCAAAAAAUUCCAUGCUAUGCCUCACAUGGCCUUGCCCAGGUGCCUGUUUGAUUUGCCUGGGUUGUCUGUUCUUUCUUCCCCACUGUCCUCAUUUGCCAUGUGGCUCGGUGGUGGCUGGAGACCUCCAUGCUGGCCCCUGGGAGCAGCUGCUAAGGCUCGGCGCCUCAG